rnacentral:rRNA from 1 species
UGGUUUAAUUCGAUGCAACGCGAAGAACCUUACCUACUCUUGACAUCCAGAGAAUUUAGCAGAGAUGCUUUAGUGCCUUCGGGAACUCUGAGACAGGUGCUGCAUGGCUGUCGUCAGCUCGUGUUGUGAAAUGUUGGGUUAAGUCCCGCAACGAGCGCAACCCUUAUCCUUUGUUGCCAGCGGUUCGGCCGGGAACUCAAAGGAGACUGCCAGUGAUAAACUGGAGGAAGGUGGGGAUGACGUCAAGUCAUCAUGGCCCUUACGAGUAGGGCUACACACGUGCUACAAUGGCAUAUACAAAGAGAAGCGACCUCGCGAGAGCAAGCGGACCUCACAAAGUAUGUCGUAGUCCGGAUCGGAGUCUGCAACUCGACUCCGUG